rnacentral:rRNA from 1 species
UACGGAGGGGGCUAGCGUUGUUCGGAAUUACUGGGCGUAAAGCGCACGUAGGCGGCUUUGUAAGUUAGAGGUGAAAGCCCGGGGCUCAACCCCAGAAUUGCCUUUAAGACUGCAUCGCUUGAAUCCAGGAGAGGUGAGUGGAAUUCCGAGUGUAGAGGUGAAAUUCGUAGAUAUUCGGAAGAACACCAGUGGCGAAGGCGGCUCACUGGACUGGUAUUGACGCUGAGGUGCGAAAGCGUGGGGAGCAAACAGG